rnacentral:lncRNA from 1 species
CGGAAAUAUGAAAAAUGAAAAAUCGACUGAGGCUUGCAAAAGCAAUGUCCUUAAGACAAUAUUUCCGGGCUGUCUACAGUGCAACAGUCACUCCCGGUAGUCUCCCAAGAUACAACAGUCGGAUACUUCGAUAUUUGCACAAAUUCGAAGCCCACGGCGAACUAGAAACGUAGGAACGAAAUUUUGACAGAAGAGUUUUAGGAAGAUAUUCACAAACGUCUUAUUAUCUCUUGUGCAAAACUGAUCAGGUUUUGUCUUAUUUAUAGAAAUUUAAGAGUCCUUUUGUGAAGGGAUAUGUUGUUUUGAAAAGAGUUAUUUCAUAAAUAGAUGUGUUGUUUGGAA